GUGUCAGCAGCCGCGGUAAUACGUAGGGGGCGAGCGUUGUCCGGAAUUACUGGGCGUAAAGGGCGUGUAGGCGGCCUGUUAAGUCAGGGGUGAAACUCCGGGGCUCAACCCCGGGCGUGCCUCUGAAACUGAUGGGCUUGAGUGCUCUAGAGGGCAGUGGAAUUCCCGGUGUAGCAGUGAAAUGCGUAGAGAUCGGGAGGAACACCAGUGGCGAAGGCGGCUGCCUGGGGAGUAACUGACGCUGAGGCGCGAAAGCUAGGGGAGCAAACAGGAUUAGAUACCCUGGUAGUCCUAGCCGUAAACGAUGAGUGCUAUGUGUGAGGGGUAUCGACCCCCCUCGUGCAGUAGUUAACGCAAUAAGCACUCCGCCUGGGGAGUACGGCCGCAAGGCUGAAACUCAAAGAAAUUGACGG
rnacentral:rRNA from 1 species